AUGCCACGUCGCAUUCCAGAUUAUCCAGAUGCUUACGCCGGAUGGAAUGCUCUGAGCAGUUUCGGUUCUUAUAUAUCCGUAGUUGGGAUUCGUCGUUUCUUCGUAGUUGUCGCAAUCACUUCAAGCAGUCUUCUUCAUCUGGCCGCAUUGCAUCAAUAUGGAUCAAAUAAUCCAUUGGGUGUACAUUCUGAGAUGGAUAAAAUUGCUUCUUACUCUUAUUUUUAUGUAAAGGAUCUUGUAGGUUGGGCUAUCUUUUUGUCCAUUUCCUUUCGGUGGUUUUUGGUUCUAUGGAAAAUUUGCUCCAUUCUUUGGACAAUUAUGGAACUGAUCGCUCCCGGCAUCUUUGGUUACUCUGUGCUAAUGGAAUGCUUCCACGUUUUCCCCCCACUGCCUCCUGUAGAACCCGCGGAAAUAACCUCUUCCUUUAAGGAAAAUACAUCCUCCAUGGAUAGGCUGAUGUCGGUCUUGGGGGAAACUAGUGUUUCCACAGGUGAACCCUCCGUUAACCAACUCGAAAGAGAUAGUUAUACGGAACAACGCCACCUGUGUAUAAGUGCUAUCCGAGCUGAAAUGCUUGAGCAAUACAAGAAGGACGUUGGCAAGCGUCACUUCUUAAUGCAUAUUGCUUUUUUUGUGUACAAAGUAUACAAUCAGGGGAGGAUGGAAUCCGAUCUUGAUUCCAUCUGUCACCAUUUUGAGAUCGAAGAGUCCUCAUUGCAGGAUCUCGAAGAAUUUCUACAGGAUAUAAAGCACAAUAAAAAAAUAUUGUGA
rnacentral:rRNA from 1 species